rnacentral:rRNA from 1 species
GACGAACGCUGGCGGCGUGCUUAACACAUGCAAGUCGAACGGAAAGGCCCUGCUUUUGUGGGGUGCUCGAGUGGCGAACGGGUGAGUAACACGUGAGUAACCUGCCCUUGACUUUGGGAUAACUUCAGGAAACUGGGGCUAAUACCGGAUAGGAGCUCCUGCUUCAUGGUGGGGGUUGGAAAGUUUCGGCGGUUGGGGAUGGACUCGCGGCUUAUCAGCUUGUUGGUGGGGUAGUGGCUUACCAAGGCUUUGGCGGGUAGCCGGCCUGAGAGGGUGACCGGCCACAGUGGGACUGAGGUACGGCCCAGACUGCUACGGGAGGCAGCAGUGGAGAAUAUUGCACAAUGGGCGGAGGCCUGAUACAGCAACGCCGCGUGGGGGAUGACGGCCUUCGGGUUGUAAAACGCUUUCGCCUGUGACGAAGCGUGAGUGACGGUAAUGGGUAAAGAAGCACCGGCUAACUACGUG